UUGAGGAGAAUGAGCAAGGGG
rnacentral:miRNA from 1 species